rnacentral:sRNA from 1 species
ACACGCGCUUCAACUUCGGUUGGUGUGUGUCGAAGAAACCUGACUGCGCCCUGAGGAGAACAGCGGAGAAGGUCCACCGAGCCUGGCGAAAGGUCCGCUGAGCGGGCUGUCGUCCGGAGCCACUCCGGGCUGCGGAGCACCCAGUGGAGACCGCGCCUGGCUCAGGUGUGGGACCCCAUCCUUCCUGUCUUCGCAGAGGAGUCCUCGCGUGAAAUAAGCGGGUUUUGAAAACAAAAAAAAGAAGGAGUGGAAGAGGGGGCCAGGAUCCAGGCCUCCAUCCCCACAGAAGUGAAGCUACAGCUGGGAGGGACUAUUAAGUAAUUUUAAGUGGGUGGGGUUAUUUAGAAUGUUAGAAUAAUAUUAUGUAUUAGAUAUCGCUAUAAGUGGACAUGCGUACUUACUUGUAACCCUUUACCCUAUAAUUGCUAUCCUUAAAGAUUUCAAAUAAACUCGGAGGGAACUGCAGGGAGACCAACUUAUUUAGAGCGAAUUGGACAUGGAUAAAAACCCUAGUGGGAGAAAGUUCAAAGGUGAUUAGAUUAAUAAUUUAAUAGAGGAUGAGUGCCCUCUGAUAAAUUACUGCUAGAAUGAACUUGUCAAUGAUGGAUGGUAAAUUUUCAUGGAAGUUAUAAAAGUGAUAAAUAAAAACCCUUGCUUUUACCCCUGUCAGUAGCCCUCCUCCUACCACUGAACCCCAUUGCCCCUACCCCUCCUUCUAACUUUAUUGCUGUAUUCUCUUCACUCUAUAUUGCUCUCUAUUUGC